GGGGUGUAUUAGAAGCAGGGAGGGUUCAGAUGUUCAGUAUUUGGGAAAUGGGUGUUGUAUAAAUAUGGAAGGUGGGUGUCACUCGAACAGGUCUGUGAGAAGUUUAUUUCCAUGGACUUGGCACAGGGCACUUCCAUUGGCUUAAUGAGAGCCGUCAGCAUGCAUGCUUGCUUAUGUCUGGGAGACACUUCACACACCUUGUGCCUCACUCCUCCACCCCCAACUGAGAAACAACCCCUUUGUGAGGAAAAAGCAGUUUUAUCAGGUUUGCCCAAUACGUGGAGAAAUUCAGGAAAUGAAAAUAACAUGUUCUCUGUUUGAUAUUAGAAUUCCUUCUGUGGCGUUUAAAUGCAUUUGUCGUUGUUGUAUUUGUGCAUGGUACAAGUGACAACACUGCUUAAUACAGUGAGCAAUAAGAAUUAGGUAUUACCCACUUUCACACUAAACCUGCCACGUGCAACGAUUCCCCGGGGCCAUGGAAUGUGUUUUGGUUUGGUUUUAUCCCAUGUGUUUUACUGUGUGAGAUACUGAUCGCAGGUAUUUUAUUGGCUAAUCUGUAGCUGAAACUAAAGGGGAACGGUAAACAAUCUCACACAACAGAAUCCCGUUUAAUUUGGUUUUGUUGGUUAGCCUGAACCCUGGCCUGCUACUGGUUUUCCUUCUUUUUAGUCAUCCCUUACUUAAAUAAGGCAAAAAAUCAUUGAAGGGUGCUAUACCUGUGCACAGAAGAUCUGUGAAUCUGAUAGAAAACACUGGUAGUUUCAGGCUAGGUGGUAAUAAUGGAUUUGAGCAGUUUUGGGUUCAUUGCAUUGCCGUGCAGUCCAGCAAGGCUGCAAAUGCGUAUGGGAAACUUCGCCCCUCGGUUGCAGAACUCUUCAAAAGAGCAUUGAAGAUGGUAACUCAGAGGACUGUCAGCAAAGACUCUUCCAAGCAGCAGCCCUUUAGCACUUGCUCUCCAUGUAUGCAGUGUUAGCCAUGUUUGGCCUAUACGGACAUUUUUGUAAAUUAAAACUCUGUUUCCAGACAGCAUUAAACUUUUUAUAUUAUGAAAUUUACCAUGUAAAAAGAUUUUCAUAUUUUUAUUGAAAUUGCUAAGGCAUUUGGCCUUCUUCCUUUGUGAUUUCAGUGUCUAUUAAAGCAUGAGUUCUCUCAGUUCUCUG
ensembl:lncRNA